GGCGAUGAGUAGUGGGACGAGACGUGAGGUACGUGUGUAGCGGUCGAUAGAGCUUCCGACCCAGGUUAUUUCGAUUUAGCUAUUACCCUUUAUUACUUCUGAUGAUAUAUAUAGCUUAGUCGGUUUACAUGGUUCAGUUCUGUUUUAUUAUCUGGAUUUUCAACGGGUUUUGGAAUGAACUAAAAGAUUGGUGUUUUCUCGAAAUAAAACAGUUUUCUACCCCUCGUGGUAGCUGGUUUUGAAAAAGAAUGGUUCCCGUGUGGGGAACAGUUUUCAAAUUAAAUUUUCUGUGGUUUUUAUGGAUUUAGUAUUUCAAAAUCAGUUUCCAGGUAGGAAACAUUUUAACUGAUAGAUGUGGAAUGUUUUCAUAACUCAAGUAUCAUAUCUGUGUGUGUGAAUGGAAUGGAUGAAUGUUAUCUCUCUUGUUCAUCUGGUUGUGGUUGUGUGUGUAUCUAUACUCUGUUGUACUUGUGCGACGCCGUGCAAAUACAGGGGAGAUUCUGUCCGUGGGAACAGUGGAUUCCCUGUGUUUGUGGCGGAUCUGGCACUCUGGGGUCAGGUUUUCAAAAAAAAAUUUAUAGCUAAUUUUCCGCUGUGCUUUUGAACAAAUAAAAGGACCCCGGGGCGUGACAAUUAUUAAAUUCAAAUAGUAAGUGGAUUAAUGAGAUAUUUGAGAAGUUCACGGAUAUUACGUUGCGAAAGAAUUGGCAGGUGCGGAUAUUACGCGUGGAAAAUAUUUGAGAAACGCGUAGAUAGAAAAUAUGAUAUAAAUGCGAGGGUAAUAUUAUCACAAAAAGUAACAGAUAUUUUUAUUUUUAAUUAUUAGAUAAGAUCUAAUGGUAAAAAAUUAAUAUCUUUUACUAUAUUAUUAAAAAUCACCUAUAAUGAAGGGGAUUUUAUUUCAAAGUCACCUAUAAUUAUGUUGAGAUAUUUGAGAAAUUCACGGAUAUUACGUUGCGAAAGAAUUGGCGGGUGCUGAUAUUAUGCGUGAGAAGGAAAAUAUUUAUCUUUAUUUGGGAAUAAAUUAUUACUUAGUUCAAUAUUUGAAAUGAUUGGUUGAAAAUUACUGGACAUAAAAAUAUUAGUAAAAAAGAAUAGAGGCAUUUUUGGAAAGAGGAAAAAAUUCAAAACUCACGCUUGUAUAAGUAGUAUAGAUAUAGAUAUUGCAUGUCACUUUUAUACUAUCACUCAUUCUGUAAUUUUUAUUUCGUAAUUUUUUUUUCCCUACUGUCACUUCUGUAAUUUUCUUAGUUCUUAAAUGUUGAUGCUUUAAAAUAGAACAUAUUAUUUUUAUUUUAUUAUUUAAAUACGAAGCAAGUAUUAAUUUUUCUUGGAUGUCUUAUUGUUCUCAGGAUAUGGCACUUGGGUAUGAUUCUAUACGUGACAUCACUUCUCUUGGAGACAAAUGGAAGAUCAAAGUCAGAGUGAUUUGUCUGUAUACUAUACCUGAAUUUCAUCGUCCAGAGGUGGUGAAUAGCCUAGAGUUAGU
rnacentral:lncRNA from 1 species